GCGGAUGUGGCGAAAUUGGUAGACGCACUAGAUUUAGGAUCUAGCGCCGNGAGGCAUGGGGGUUCGAGUCCCUCCAUCCGCACAA
rnacentral:tRNA from 1 species